rnacentral:rRNA from 1 species
UACGAAGGGGGCUAGCGUUGCUCGGAAUUACUGGGCGUAAAGCGCACGUAGGCGGCUUUCUAAGUCGGGGGUGAAAUCCUGGAGCUCAACUCCAGAACUGCCUUCGAUACUGGAGCUUGAGUCCGGAGAGGUGAGUGGGAACUGCGAGUGUAGAGGUGAAAUUCGUAGAUAUUCGCAAGAACACCAGUGGCGAAGGCGGCUCGACUGGCCCGAUACCUGACGCUGAGGUGCGAAAGCGAG